AAGUACAUGAUUAAAACCAAAGAUGUAACUACACACUGAGGAUGUACAUGCAGGACAAAAUAAUUAUAGGAAUUCUUCGUUUAUGACUGGCUU
rnacentral:snoRNA from 1 species